UGGGGCCGUAAAAUUCGUUUACUCAGUAAAGAAGUCGUAAGAGCAUAUCUGUUAUGCAAUGCUAGUUAAAUGACUGGGUUCAAGUGCAUCAUGAAAGGCAGUUGGGCUGAUACUACGAGGAUGAGUCGACACAAACUCUGGCUAUCGUGAUGGCCCUCAAGGUCGGAGGCAUUUUUUCCUCCUCGAAAUGAUUUUUUUUUACAAAAUGGCUCCAAACGAUAUUGACCCACCAAUCGGUUUCUCCACCUCAGCUGUACGAUCUCUUCGUCCUUGAGAUGAAAAAAAAGUCGAGGAAGAAAAGUGAUAAAAAAAUUAUGUGACAUAUAUCGGAUUAAUAAGACGGUGAAAAGUAAAAAUUAAUGGAGUAAUUUCCCGCUCCAUCUCUGCACACACUCGAUUCACCCUCGGUCUUACUACUGCUUCGAUUUUCCAUGGACAGCUUUCUUCCAAGCAUG